rnacentral:ribozyme from 1 species
UUCUUUUUCUUUCGUUUUCUUUGUUUUUUCUCUCUCUCUCUGAAAAGGGCAAUACAAAAAAAGGAGAGGACGGG